GACGAACGCUGGCGGCGUGCCUAAUACAUGCAAGUCGAACGCUUCUUUUUCCACCGGAGCUUGCUCCACCGGAAAAAGAGGAGUGGCGAACGGGUGAGUAACACGUGGGUAACCUGCCCAUCAGAAGGGGAUAACACUUGGAAACAGGUGCUAAUACCGUAUAACAAUCGAAACCGCAUGGUUUUGAUUUGAAAGGCGCUUUCGGGUGUCGCUGAUGGAUGGACCCGCGGUGCAUUAGCUAGUUGGUGAGGUAACGGCUCACCAAGGCCACGAGGCAUAGCCGACCUGAGAGGGGGAUCGGCCACAUUGGGACUGAGACACGGCCCAAACUCCUACGGGAGGCGGCAGUAGGGAAUCUUCGGCAAUGGACGAAAGUCUGACCGAGCAACGCCGCGUGAGUGAAGAAGGUUUUCGGAUCGUAAAACUCUGUUGUUAGAGAAGAACAAGGAUGAGAGUAACUGUUCAUCCCUUGACGGUAUCUAACCAGAAAGCCACGGCUAACUACGUGCCAGCAGCCGCCGCGG
rnacentral:rRNA from 1 species